rnacentral:rRNA from 1 species
AACGAACGCUGGCGGCAGGCUUAACACAUGCAAGUCGAGCGCCCCGCAAGGGGAGCGGCAGACGGGUGAGUAACGCGUGGGAAUCUACCCAUCUCUACGGAAUAACGCAUGGAAACGUGUGCUAAUACCGUAUACGUCCUUCGGGAGAAAGAUUUAUCGGAGAUGGAUGAGCCCGCGUCGGAUUAGCUAGUUGGUGGGGUAAAGGCCUACCAAGGCGACGAUCCAUAGCUGGUCGGAGAGGAUGAUCAGCCACACUGGGACUGGGACACGGCCCAGACUCCUACGGGAGGCAGCAGUGGGGAAUAUUGGACAAGGGGCGCAAGCCUGAUCCAGCCAUGCCGCGUGAGUGAUGAAGGCCCGAGGGUUGUAAAGCUCCUUCACCGGUGAAGAUAAUGACGGUAACCGGAGAAGAAGCCCCGGCUACCUUCGUGCCAGCCGCCGCUGUAACAC